UACUCCCCACCUCACUGGUCUAAAAGAACACGGCUUUUAGAACCACAUUGGGAUUCAUUCCUGGCUACAGAUGCUGAGAAGCCCAAGGACAAGGAAGGGGCAAACAGGCUGAAAGAAGCCUUGGGGAUCCUGGGUGGCGCAGCGGUUUGGCGCCUGCUUUGGCCAGGGCGCGAUCCUGGAGACCCAGGAUCGAAUCCCACAUGGGCUCUGGUGCAUGAGCCUGCUUCUCCUCUGCCUGUGUCUCUGCCUCUCUCUCUCUGUGUGACUAUCAUAAAUUAAAAAAAAAAAAAAAAGCCUUGGAUUUGCCUGGGGCCACCUAUUCAACUGGAAGAACUCGGGAUGGGCUAGGCAGCAUUAGUGUGUCAGCCCUUCACCGCAUCUGCUCCCAGAUUCCUCAGUGGUUAAGCCAACUCUUCCUGCUGCUCCAAUGCAGGGUAAGUCGACCCUCACACCUUCCCUCCUGGAACUGACUGGCUCCUGUCCAUACUGGACCCUGGACUCUGCUUGAGACACUAUUCCUGCACAAUGUUAAUGACCGUUUCAUCAGCAACUGCUGAAAUCUAAUUUUUAAACUUCAGGACUAUAUUUUUGAUCCCAUUUUGACUUUUACCGGUAAAAGUCUCUUUAAUACUAUUUCGUUAUGUUGUAUGAAUAUCAUUUUAUGAUUCGAAGGUCCUAUCUAUAUUAAAGUUUGUAAAGGUAUUUUAUUUUAUUCAAGAGCCACUUUUAUUAAAAUGCCUGAACUCUACCAUCUGGUAUUUAACUGAGGUGAAGGGGUCCACUUGCUUAUCCGGCCUCCUCCUACAGCUAGUCCCACAGCAGGCUAACAGCAUUUAAUAUCUACCACAGAUACACAAUACAUUCAUUCUGUAGCAAGCACCUCAGUGAAAUUCAGCAUCUGAUAAGUGUGGAUAUAGAUCAGCUGCAAAUAGAAAAAAAGGAUCUCUAUAAUCUAUAUAUAAUAUAUAUAUUCUAUGUAUAACCUAUAUUACCUAAAACAAUGAUCUGCAAACUGUGAUUUCCAAUCAUUAAUGGGUCAUAAGAUCAAUUUAGUGGGUUAUGAGAACAUUAAAAAACACACAUAUAUUAAGAGCCAAAAGCGUAAUAGGAAAGGAAAUAUCAAAGUACACUGCAUGCUUUAUGGGUAAAUAUUAUUUCAUAAACAUUUUAUUUUAAUCUUAUAUAUGUAUUAACACAUAUGUACUGAGUCAUGAUAUAAAAUAGAUUUCACAGCUCUCAACAACAUCCCAAAGAACAUAUUUGGUCACUUGGUCCCUUGAGAAAAGAUUUGUUUUUUUGUUUUUAUUUCUCCAUUUACAGCCAUGGUUCUCCUGCAAGGUGGGUACUCUGAAGGCCUUGGGCUCCGAGCACCACCCCUUCCUGGCUCACUGCUAUUUCCUAUUUUUCCUCCUGCCCACCCAAGCUCCCAGAGCUCCACUGAAGGAA
rnacentral:lncRNA from 1 species